rnacentral:rRNA from 1 species
ACGGGAGGCAGCAGCUAAGAAUAUUCCGCAAUGGACGGAAGUCUGACGGAGCGACGCCGCGUGAACGAAGAAGGUCGGAAGAUUGUAAAGUUCUUUUAGACAUGAGGAAGAAGCAGGAGAGUGGAAAGUUCCUGCGGUGACUGUAGUGUCAGAAUAAGCAACGGCUAAUUACGUGCCAGCAGCCGCGGUAACACGUAAGUUGCGAGCGUUGUUCGGAAUUAUUGGGCGUAAAGGGCAUGUAGGCGGUUGUGCAAGCUUGAUGUGAAAUCCCCGGGCUUAACCCGGGAACUGCAUUGAGAACUGCAUGACUAGAAUUACUGAGGGGUAACUGGAAUUCCAAGUGUAGGGGUGAAAUCUGUAGAUAUCAGGAAGAAUACCAAUGGCGAAGGCAGGUUACCAGCAGAUGACUGACGCUGAGGUGCGAAGGUGCGGGGAGCAAACAGGAUUAGAUACCCUGGUA